rnacentral:rRNA from 1 species
UACGUAGGUGACAAGCGUUGUCCGGAUUUACUGGGCGUAAAGAGCGCGCAGGCGGUCGAUCAAGUCGAGUGUGAAAGCCCCCGGCUCAACUGGGGAGGGUCACGCGAUACUGAUCGACUCGAAGGCAGGAGAGGGAAGUGGAAUUCCCGGUGUAGUGGUGAAAUGCGUAGAUAUCGGGAGGAACACCAGUGGCGAAGGCGACUACCUGGCCUGUUCUUGACGCUGAGGCGCGAAAGCUAGGGGAGCAAACGGG